GGGGAAUAUUGGGCAAUGGAGGCAACUCUGACCCAGCAACGCCGCGUGAAUGAAGAAGGCCUUCGGAUUGUAAACUCCUGUCGUUAGGGACGAUAAUGACGGUACCUAACAAGAAGGCACCGGCUAACUACGUGCCAGCAGCCGCGGUAAAACGUAGGGUGCAAGCGUUGUCCGGAAUUACUGGGUGUAAAGGGAGCGCAGGCGGGAAGACAAGUUGGAAGUGAAAUCUAUGGGCUCAACCCAUAAACUGCUUUCAAAACUGUUUUUCUUGAGUAGUGCAGAGGUAGGCGGAAUUCCCGGUGUAGCGGUGGAAUGCGUAGAUAUCGGGAGGAACACCAGUGGCGAAGGCGGCCUACUGGGCACCAACUGACGCUGAGGCUCGAAAGUGUGGGUAGCAAACAGGAUUAGAUACCCUGGUAGUCCAUGCCGUAAACGAUGAUUACUAGGUGUGGGAGGAUUGACCCCUUCCGUGCCGCAGUUAACACAAUAAGUAAUCCACCUGGGGAGUACGACCGCAAGGUUGAAACUCAAAGGAAUUGACGGGGGCCCGCACAAGCAGUGGAGUAUGUGGUUUAAUUCGAAGCAACGCGAAGAACCUUACCAGGUCUUGACAUCGGAUGCAUAGCUAAGAGAUUAGCGAAGUCCUUCGGGACAUCCAGACAGGUGGUGCAUGGUUGUCGUCAGCUCGUGUCGUGAGAUGUUGGGUUAAGUCCCGCAACGAGCGCAACCCUUACUGUUAGUUACUACGCAAGAGGACUCUAGCAGGACUGCCGUUGACAAAACGGAGGAAGGUGGGGAUGACGUCAAAUCAUCAUGCCCUUUAUGACCUGGGCUACACACGUACUACAAUGGCGUUAAACAAAGAGAAGCGAAGCCGCGAGGUGGAGCAAACCUCAAAAACAACGUCCCAGUUCAGACUGCAGGCUGCAACUCGCCUGCACGAAGUCGGAAUUGCUAGUAAUCGCGGAUCAGCAUGCCGCGGUGAAUACGUUCCCG
rnacentral:rRNA from 1 species